UUAUAAUACAUAUUUUGACAUGUUUUGAGAUGGCUGUUCAGAGUGCCAACAGAGGAGCCCUCAAAACUGCUUUUCAAGGGGAUGAUUUACAUCUGUAGCCAAUCUGUACUGAGGCAACCAGGCGUUCAAUUGUCUGGAACAGCUGGGCCAAUGAUAUUGUAACUAUUAGUUGCUGGAUAAUCACGAUGCUGGCCCCAUCAAAGGCAGCAUGUAGUGACUGGAAAGAGACGACUGCCUGGGGAGAUGUUUCCAGGGUGGAGUUGAUAGGAUUUGGGUGAGAGCUUUGAAGAAGGUGGAGUCAUGGAGAAUUCUAAUUUGGGAAACUGGAUGGAUAAUUAAAGCAGAAUUAACCAAAAUUAGAAGGAGAAAUUGAACAAGGAGGGAGAUUUGGGGGGAGACUAAUAAGGUCAGAUUUGGGUGUGUUAGGUUUGACGUGACUGUAGGACAAUCAUGUGGACAUGCUCAAAGGCAGCUGGAGGUAGAACAUGCUCAGGAAGAUGGGUCACACAGGGCCGGGUGAGAGCAGGCUGGAGAUACCGAUGUGAGAGUCAAAAGCAUGUCAAGUGUA
rnacentral:lncRNA from 1 species